rnacentral:rRNA from 1 species
UACGUAGGGUGCAAGCGUUAAUCGGAAUUACUGGGCGUAAAGCGUGCGCAGGCGGUUCUAUAAGACAGAUGUGAAAUCCCCGGGCUCAACCUGGGAACUGCAUUUGUGACUGUAGAGCUGGAGUACGGCAGAGGGGGAUGGAAUUCCACGUGUAGCAGUGAAAUGCGUAGAGAUGUGGAGGAACACCGAUGGCGAAGGCAGCCCCCUGGGUCAAGAUUGACGCUCAUGCACGAAAGCGUGGGGAGCAAACAGG